AGCCAGAAGUGAUGCUGAAAUGAUGAAAGGUGGAAGUUUUUCAUACAUGGAUGAGGAGAAAUGGACUAGGAAAAAAUCUUCUUCCUUAAGUUUUGAAGAUAAGAGUCUUUCAAGAUGCGGCCAUGGGAAAAGUCAAGGGAAAAGAAUGUGAAUUUGUGGGUGGGGAGGUAUUUUCCCUUUGUCAGUGGUCUCUGUGAAGCAUUUGAAAAGUUUGUAACAGUGGAAAGGAAGUAGCUACCUGUCUAAGUGAAAUGAAGAUAAAAUCAAGAAAGGAAAAGAAAUUUUGCAGUACAUUUGCUAUUCAAUUGCUGUUGAAGUGUGUAUCAACUUGUCAGCUUCAUGGGAAGUCACCAACUGGAAGAGCCUCCAGCCUUGUAAGGAAAUCUGGGAAUCCUUGUAAGCUCUUGCCAGUGCAUGGGGCAGCUUGCCAACACCAUCAAGCUUGGACCUCCUCCCCAGCCCAGGAAUACCUUGUGGCUGUGAGCCCUGCCCAGGCAUCUGUGGGGUGGGGAUGGCAGUUGAGGGGUGUCUCCCAGAGCACAUCUGCACAGAGCUGCCAGCAAUGGCAGCCUGGAGGAGAAUGUCACUCAGCAUAUUGGAGAUGUGCCCUUGCCUUAUGAAGGAGCUUUCAUCUCGGGGGCUUCACAAAGCAUGUUGUCAAGGCCUGCAUCCCAGCUGCUGCCAUGGUUCACCUUCCCUCCCUGUGUUCCUAGUGCAGCCUUUCAGAGCAG